UAUCUUUAACUUAUAUUGAAAAGUGACAAAAAUGAGACAGAUGCCAGAGAAGAUUAUCACGUGUUAAUAAAUGAAUGUCAUUUGUCAAACCCGGAUGCUUAAACAGAUGCGCUUAAUGUGAGAUUUGGCCACCAGAUCUGUUACAUUUGACAAAGUUAAGACUCUGGAGGUCCACUUUAGGAAGGAGAUAUUUGAGUGAAGGACUUUGAUGGGCGACCAUGCAUAGUGUGCCUGUGGCAUAAGUAUAAAAUUACAUUAGCUGAGGGUCUCUAUUAGGCAGUGGACCCUUCUGUGAAACCCCUGAAACCAACCUGGUCCUCUAAAUGUGUUAAACAAAGAGUCCACACAGUGACGCCAUCUAAUGAAGACAUGUUCCUCACUUUAAAUGACUCACCAGGACCCAUUGACUCUGAUUACUAUCAAACUGAGAAAUAUAGAAACACUUUUCUGAAAGACUGGUCAAAGAACACAAAGGGACAUCACAGGAAGAGAUAUGAGAUAAGAUGAGUGUCUUAGGUUUCAGCUGAUCAACAAAUGUGUUCUGCUGAGUUUGUUUUUAGCGGUAACUGCAGGAAAAUCUAGUUAAGCUAUAAAGCUUGUGUAGUUGGUUUGUAACAGAUCUAAGAUGGUCAACCUACCCAGUUAUGUCUGUAGUACACUUAGGAUGUUCUAAACUACUUCUUAUCCUAUUAUUGAUAAAGGUUGGCACAAUUAUAUUUAAAUUAACGUGUUACUAAAAAUUAUUAUAAAGUUAUAGGAAAUUAAAAAGUGAAAGAAUGUACUGUUAUAUUCCCUGUUUAAAAUAAAGAAUGAACACAGUAUGUGCUUAGA